ensembl:lncRNA
CACAGCCUGAACCACUGAUUGAUCAACUGAGGCAAGGACUGAGUCAGCCAUGGGAGCACAGGUGAAGGCAAUUCUCCUGUGUGACCGGAAGGGAUGGAGCCUGGCUGCACCUCUCCUAGACCCCAUUUAAGGGCUGACUGCCAUUGGGAAAGGAUCUUUUUCUCGAGAUCCCUCCUUUUGGAGUUUUCUACUGUGAGCCUGGGACGUGGGAGACCUCCGGGUCUCCCAGUGCAGUGAGGAAUGGCAUAGAGGAAGAGCCAUGCUGGGCCACAGGAGAUUUGAUUUUAUGGUGUCCAGGAGUCCACGGGAGCCUUCAGGUGCCUCUGUUGGGCACUUCUGAAUUAAAUGUUCAGUGCUGUUACACUCAACUUGCAAAGCAGACUUGAAGACACAGAAGUCUUGAUUUUUGCAGUGACCUCCACUCAGGAGUCCCUCCUGACCUCGGGGCUUUGGCACAGCUCUGCAUUGCACCUCUCCGUAUGCUUCCUCUUGGCUUCACACAGAAGCCUGGCAGGGCAAAUCACUUCUUGACAGUCUCUAGAAUGGUGCAUGGAUUUCUCUGAAGAGGUCUUUGAAGAGAUAAUUUGAUGCUGAUGGCCUAGCUGAUUCUUGUUUAAUGAUAAAAUGGAGAGAGACAAAUAAUGCUCUGCUUCUCCCCACAUCCUGGAGAAGGACAAGCCAUCCACAUCCUUUGCAGCACCUAUGAGGCAGCUUUGAGGACUCUCAUCUUCUAUAAAAUCAGCGGGAGCUCUGUGGACUGGAAGAACUGAGCGUGCAGGGUUCUGGAGCAGGAGAAUGCUACACCACUACAAAAGCUGUUACUACUCAGACGUUCUCCAUUCUCAGCACAUGUUAAAAAACUUCUGGUGCACUCAAAUGCCUCUCUCUGCUGAUCCUUACUGAGUCCUGUAGGAAGAGAUGUACCAGUAGGGAAAAGUUCAUGUAUCUAGCGUAGAUCUCUUGCCAGUGGAAUGUAAGAAAACUGUAACAUACUUAUCAGAAGAGCUAUAAAAACAAUUACUGAACUUUCUACAGAGUCAGCAAGGAGAGAUGGGGCUCUGAGUGACCUGAGAUGGCUUAGCCAUUUUCUGACUUCUGCCUUGAUUUUAUUCAUGGAAAACUUGUUUUCCUCUCUGUGAGCUGCAAAUAACCAGUCACCUAAAACAUUAAGUAAUGAAGUUCAAUGUACUGGGUUAAUCACUGGAAAAGUGCUUCAUCUGAAAACUCCAUGGGGGAUCAUGUUUCAGCACACAAAUGUCCUUGUACAAUUACUACUACGCUCUUGCUAUAUGAGUAGCCUGUCCACACUGCCAUAUUGUGUUUGCUGUAAGGUGCUGCUAACCCAGCAGUUGCAACACACUACACCAGUCCAAAAGGGAGAUAGAAGCUGCUGCACUUUUUCCCUGGACAAGAAUGAUGGUUUCUCAAAGAGAGUCCAGAAGUCAUCUUUGGAGUCUGGAUGCUCUCUCUUCUUCAGAGUGUGUCUGCUAUAGAACGAGCAUCCACACAGCCCUCUUCCUCUGCUGCUGCCUGUGAGAUGAAGGAAAAAAAUGGCACCCAUUGACUUUCAUCGAGGCUUGCUGAACGUUUCUGGAGACCAAACAUUGGAUGUGAGCACAAGAGGAAUCCACUUUGAUCUGUGCAUCAUCCAGUGUCAAUGGAUCCUCUCUGUGACUUUGAAGCACCUUGGCUUGGUUGGGAGUACUGCUGCCCAAGACCAAUUGGAAGUGUGAGGCCAAAAGAUGUGGACGCCAGUCAGGAGCAGGGACCCAGCAGGUUGAUCUGUAUUCUUUCCUCACUCCCAUGCACGCAUUUACAUGAGGUUUGGUUCUCAUGGGCCUUAAACAAAUACAGGGAGGGAGAAGCCCUUUUCAUGCCAAGCACAGGCAGCAGCACAGCACCCACUAAGGAAGGAAACAUAAUAUAGAAUUUGCUGUCUGUGGGUUUAACAGCUGUUCUGGGAAAUGGCUGUGAUUUUACAAGCCAGCUCUGCUACACCAGACAAAACUGCCCUUGGUGGUCUCUGCUUUGUGUGGCAUUUUACAGCUAUUGAAUUUUCUUGGUUACUUUUAGCAUGCUAUGCCAGUGAAACUCAGAUGAGGUGCUGCAAGGCAGUAUAGGGUGCACAAUCUUUGGCAGUGUUCAAGGCCAGACUGGAUUGAGAUUUGGUUAAUCUAAUCUAGUGGGAGGUGUUCCUGUUCACAGGAAGAGAGUUAAAGAUGGAUAGUCUGUAAGGACCCUUAUAGGUCUCUGUUCUAAGAUUCUGUAGGUAUCGAGCUGGGAAGAAAGGACAAGGUGAUAGGAUACUAUAGGAUACUUGUUACCAAAAGGAGAGUACCGCAAAAGUGGUCAACGGGGGUAAGAUCCUGUAGGAACUGCAGAUUCUUGAAUUGUCUUCUCUGCUACCUGAGAUGAACUAGAGUCUGUCGAGAAAACAGAUGGCUAAUCACUUUGCAGUUUUAAUGCUACCCUAGGUAAAAAUAUUUGGCAAUUACCUGUCAUUGCUCAAAAUGCAAAGAUUUAUGAAAUGUUAUUAAAGGAACUGAAUGACAGAGAGCCAAAAUGGCUUGAUAUUGCUAAUGAGGGAGAAAGAAAGCAUAUCAAGGAUGCAUUAGCAUUUCUAUGCCUGCUCUUACAUUCUGGAGUUCGUAACAGCCAUAAAAACAUUUUAUUGUUGUACUUAGGAAGGAAUAUAGCUGUAAAUAUAGCUCAAUUUCAUAAUUUCUCCAAAGUAUAUGUAAGAAUUAUCACUGUUCUAAACAAUCUUUCACUCUAGACAACUGUAUUCCACAAAUGUUGUUUCCAAUUUCAGUCUUCAGUUGUAAAUGAAGUGGUAGGAAACACCCCCAAGAAAGCACUAGUGUUGUAUCUCUGUGAAUUACAAAGUGUUUUCAGGAUCCUGCUUAGGGUCCUGUUUGGGAUCCUGCUGACUGACUCAAAAACAAAAGAUGGCAGGAAACACAAGAAGAACAGUUUUUAAUUUAGACAAGGUAACUUCUGAAAAGAUAAUCUAGUAUUUUUCAUCUCUACAUUCUUUAUCUUUCCAUUAAGUUUUGUCUAGCUUUUUUUUUUAUUUUUUUUUUUCCAGAAACAAAACAGGACUUUGAACUAGUCUGCCUCAGAGAAAAAGAGCAUACACUGAGAGUGAAAUACUAUUUUCUAAAACACGUCAGUGGAAGAAGAAAGUGAAAAGUGGAAAGUGGGAAAGAGACAGUGCUUUUAAAAAAAAUCAACAAAAAAAAAGUGGAAUGAGAGAAAGGAAAAAAUAAAGAGGGGAGUAGAGUGAAAGAUGUGAUAGGUAAAAGGAUGUAGAGAUAAAAAGGAGACUAUUAUGGAGGUCAAAAAGGUAAUAGCAAAGAGAAAAAAAUGGAAAAAUAAUUGUGGGCAGAAGUGGAAGAGAAAAUAAAAUGAUUAAAAAGCAAAAAUAGGAGAUGGAAAGAUGGAAAGUAAUCUAAAGACAGGAAACAGGAAAAUGUAGGAAAGAAACAAGAGGCACUGUUAUUUAAUUAACGCAUGUUGUUACCUUAUUUUGGAGAUAAGUAAACACAGGGCAGUCAUGCCAGUUACAGCUACAGGAUUGGAAAAUAGAGGCAAAGUCAUACUUUCCUCUGAUUUAUAACAUUCUUCUAGGCUUUUUAGCCUUUUCUUCUAUAAGAGAUGAACAUAUUGAGGACUAAGAGGAAACUUUUAAAACACCAAAUGUGUUUCUGAAAGUGAAAUGGAGAAAUUAGAGUUAACCCCUACUGAGAAAGCCCACAUCAACCACAACAGGCACAGUGUGUGUACUGACAUCUCCAAAUCAUUCUGUGUUUCUGAACUCAUUUUCCAGCACUUGUAGAGUUUACCCUUGUUAUGGUAUGUCUUUUGUUAUUUGUUACGCUUGUUAUCAUAUAUAUUUUACAGAAUAGAUGGCCAGAUGUCAUUGUCAGGUGUUAUGCUGCUUUGUAUGGCUACAGGAGGUUGUAAGCAAUCCUAAUACUUGACACUGUGGCCUUGUGGGGAGUCUCAUCUCUGCAGUGAUACUGUGGGUGAAUCUAAGCCAGACAGUGGUCUACCAGAUGCAGGCAAUCACCACAAAACAGACUCUUUUCAUUUUUAAGCCCAUGUUUUUCAUGGAAGAGGUCUAGUGUUAGUGUGGUCACUGCUUCACAAUUUUUUUUUGUAAGCAGUUUUAAUGAGUACCAUUUUAAAACAUGAAUUGCAAGCUCUUCAGUGAAUGUGAGUGGGUGAGCAGUGCUUUGUGCUGAAAUGAAUUAUAAUUUGUCUCUUGACUUGGAGUGAUGAGGAGAGGUGGUGGGUCUGUCACUGGUGGUUUUCACUGGUGCAGAUGGGGCAGACAGUCUUCCCCUGAGCCAUGGGGUCACUCAUGCAGCUAAGCUGUGGACCUCUUUUGCUAAGCAUUAGUUAAUCUUGACUUACAAGUGGCAAUGGCAAGAAGUUUUUAUAGGUCUAAAUUGAAAGAUCUGUUGAUUUAGAAAGCAUUUGCCAAUUCUGUCCUUUUCUUUCUCAAAGAAGGCUUAUUAGAUUUGAGUUCAUGAGUGCAGUUCCAGGCACUGGCAGUCAGUGGAAGCAUCAACACCAGAACCACAAAACUGGGCCUUAUAUGGCUGGAUGAAGUCUCCUGAUCUGCAGAAGGGAAAUCCAUAGCAGAUGAAAACCUUUUCUUCUUUGGGCCAAGAGGAAGUCUCCAUCCACAGCAUUUGGAAUAUUUCUAAUGUGUGACCCAAGCAUAACAAAGGUGUGAAGGCUAAAAAUGGGAAACACCUACCACAGCUCCAACAGCCAAAACAAACAGAAAAGAACUCAGGAGUUAAGCUAUUGAAAGCCAUGUUCCUUAGACCUUUUCAUAUUUCGCUGGCAUCCUCACAGACACUGGCCCACGUAUAUAGCAAACCCCAAAAGGAUCUUAAAACUAACCCAGAAAAGAAAAACAAAAGCUUUAUGGAUCAGAGGCAGCUCCUAGCCCUAAAUUCUGUCCUACAUUAAAGUGCUCUUCUUUUUUGGUCAUUUUUUUCUGUUUUAUUUGAGAGUGGGAUUUCGGUUUUGUUUCAUACUUUCCUAUUCUUUUGCACAUUACCAAACAAAAAGUCAGAUCGUCCGUUUUGUUUUAUUCUGUAGUCCACUGAGAGAAGUCAUAAAAAUUAGAUUAAUUUUUUGGUUUCUUGUUUUAAUGCUAAAAGCGAAAACAACUGAAGAAUUAAUGUGGGCAAUGAUCUGAUUUUUCCAGCGGCAGAUUUUCCUCUGGUCUUCAGAUGGAAAGUCAUUAUUCACUUUGGUAUUAGCCACUACCUUAUUUAUUUCUUUUCUAUGGCAGUUAGUAUUGAAUCAAACUUUGUUUCUACGGUUUGUGGGAGGAGAGGUGGUUUUAGUAUUGACUGUAAUUAUGUAUUUUGCCUCAAGCCACUGACACAAACAUGUGUUUGCUCAAGGGUCACCAGAAAAGUGGUUGAGAGAACCUAAAGAUUUAAAUUGGAAUUUUAUUCACAUUCAUGUUUGAGAUUUCGGAUGCUUGUCUUAUCAGAGCAAGUAAAGCUUUAAAAUAUUGAACUGAAAUCUUGAGGGGAAAAAACUUUCUUGUGACAUUUGCAAGAAGUUUUGGUCAGGACAGGAAUUCUGGGGAGGCAGAGUUUCUAUUAUAAUUUUAGCAAUCCUAUUUUAAAUUUUGGAACUACUAGCAAAGGACACAACUUGAACCUUUUGGUUUUUAAUUCAAAAUGGUGCAAAUUAAGUAACUGGGCCUUGUAUUUGCUAUAGCAGGAAGUGCUUCAGAAGUCUAGUGUUAACCUCAGCCAGCUAACUUGUGUGACAGCUACAAAUUUGUGUUUCUAGGAUUCUAUCUCAAGUAAACACGUUUUAAGCUUAUGUUUUUUGUUUUUUGUUUUUUUUUUUUCUUUUGGUAGUGAUCUUAGGGUCAAAAUAACUGCUUUGUUUUUGCCAUAUGUAUCUUGGAGCUGGAUUUUUCUAUGAACUCUGCAGAAUUUUGUUACCAUAUUCAACGCCCAGCUUUCAGUAAAUCCAUACCUGAAGGAUGCCAUACAGAAUGAAGUGCAGAGGUGAACUGUAGGCUUCCAGCAAGUUACCACUGCCAAGGAGGGUGCAAAGACAAGCAGCUUGCUUCUGGGUGAGUAAGUGCUUAUCUUUGUCUGGGUCUUGCUGGAUUUUAUUGCUAAGGUUCAUAUGCAUUUAGAUUGCAGUCACCUGGUCAUCAACUGUGGAGACUUACUUAACACUUUUCACCCAGAUAAACCAUGAAAACAUAUUACUUUAUUUCAUCAGUAAUAUUUGUUUCUGCCCUGAGGUGCCCCAGGUAACUAAUGUUUGUCACCUUGACCCCUAAAUAUAUGUUUGGUAUAUUAAGUAUUAUAUAUAUUUUUAAUCAAUAGAGUUCAUCACAAUUCUUUCAUUAUUCAGAGAGAGAUGAGCAAAGUACUUUUGUUAGAACAAAUGUAUUCCUGUAUUCCUGUUUCUGUCUGUGCCAGGAUUAAAUGUGAAUCAAAACAAAGUAGAUACGCUGCAGUCAUUCCCUGCUGAGACUUCCUGCAUUUUUAAUCAUUAUUUGUUGGUGUUACUGUAUUUCUGUAACCCUCAGGAGUAGUGAAGCCUUCAGUGUAUGAAUUCAUUUCAUUAACUACAUUCAAACUGGAUCUAUAGGAACUGGCUCUGUACUCAGUACUGACUUCUGUGGGACAGGAUUAUAACUGUCAAGGUAGCUACACCUAUGAAUUAAACAGAAGUAUGUGCAAAGCAUAGGUCAGUACUGAGCCUCCAUCCCAUGCGUGCUCUCCCACUGAGAUCAGUGAGACUAGUGGUUAGGAGAAGAUAGAUGUGGAGGUCUGUAGGCUCAGUUAGUCUCUAAUGAAAUGUGUCUGAACCUGGAAAAGUGGGAUUGAAGAGGUCAGAAUCUACUCACUUGUAAGAUCAGUGAAGUUGAGAAUUUGGCUCAUAGUUCAUUGAAAAGGUAUCAGUAAGGUUAAAGCAAAACAUAAGAGAAAUCUUGUUUGCUCUGCUCCCUCGUUCAACAUAUAAACAGUACUGUCAGAAAUCUUGAAGGGAGCCCUGCAGACUUUUCCUGGAAAGCAUCAUUGGCAGAAAAAUAAUUUUCAGCAGAACUCAACAAAGGAGGGAAAAAAAAAAAAAAAAAAGCAGUAUAAAUCAGCUAGCAAGUUGACCCAUGGGCAGCCAAACCAAAGCAGCUUCAUUUCCUAUGGAUUUCUGUCUCCUCAGCUUUGUCAUCUGCUUCCCAGUCCUCCACUACCACCAGCCCUGCCGGUCUUCAGGACCUGGCAGGGAGGGCCACCUGCAUGGCCAGGCCAGUGCUGCAGGCCCUGUCACGGGCCAGAGAGCGCUGCCAGUGUGUCUUGGCCAUGGCUGCAGGGCUGGCCUGCUUUCCUCUCCCUGGAGCAUAUUUGGCUCUUUUGAUGUCCCUGGUUUGCACAGGGUUUAUAAGGGUCUGCGGGUCAUAGAGUCAUCUCUGUCCUUCUGUGAGAUUUAGUUAAAACUGAGGGGAAAGAGCAAGCAAAUGAUAGACAAACAUUUGCAGAACACAGUGCUGUUGUAACCUCAUUUCCCUGAGGAAUUAUAUACUUUUGUGAGCACUUGGUAUUUUUAGAGGUUAGAUUUUUAAAAACAAGCAAAAAGAUGCUUAGAACAAAUGCCAGAGAGAUGGCUCCAUGAGUUCUCUGGGGAAAUAGCCACAAAGCCAUUCCAGAUGACCAUAUCCCACAAAAUAUACAUGCUAACAUGGGUUAGGUACGCUGCAUACAAGAUGCUGAGGCCCAAAAGCUCAGGAUCCCUGCAGCAAGCAAGCCUUCCUGCCAUGUGCAGCCAUCCCCAGGACUGCCACCUCUAUGCCACCAAGGCCAACGUGUGUUUGAAAGAGAAUUUGAAACCGAAGAGGUGAGUACAAAAUAAAAGAAGUCACAGCUCCUCCCUGGAAAUGGCGCUGCUGGUGUCGGUGGACACCACUAGGUCACUCCAGCACUUCUGAGCUGGGGAUUUCUGUUUAAUAAUAUACGGCAGAUUACUUCUAUAAUGACCUAUUAAAAUUCUAAGAUUAACUCAACUGCCGCUACAGUAUCUUCAAUGUCCUGCAGCAUAAUUGGCAGAGCAAGCAUAUGCUUUUUGUUUUCUUUAUUCUGGUUUGCUUGCUUGCUUGUCACUUAGGUUUUCCCAGCAGUGUUUGUCUUGUGCUGGCCCCACCCAGAAAGAAAUGUUGGGCUGGGAAGUAAAUGAGGCACAAAGAUAGUGUCAACAUAGAUAACAAUGAGAGGGUUUUAGGUCUGUGGUUUAUAAGGAAGAAAUAAAGAAAUUUUGUGUCCUUUGAAAAUUUCUAGCUUUCAUUAAACAAAAUACAAAUGAAAUGAUUGUAUUUUUAUUCCAAUCCAAUAAGCGACGAGUAGCUUGUUUUGCUCAGUUCUGAAAUUCAUAAAGAUAUAACUGAAAAGACUGAUUUUUGCUAACAUUCAAAUAUUAAAUGAGCAUCAGAACUUCCAUUUGGGUUCAUAAGCAAUAACGUGUGUGUUUCUUUUUCUCUGUUUUACAUUUCCCUCAUGUGCAUCACGUGAGAGUGUUACUUUUUCAAAGAACGAAUCUUUAGUACUGUGUAGUCUGGACAAAUUUAACCAAUGAAUUACGCAUGUGGGUAGUCCUUGCUCGUUAUACAGUUCUUGGUAUUUCUCUUUUAAUUUUUCCCUAUUCAAUGUACACAUCUCUCAAAGCUUGAAAACUUUAGAAAGGACAAAAAGUAACUUAAUAACUUUUUAGCAUUUUAGAAAUGCUAUAUUGGACCAAGUGUUGACCUUCCCUUUCUUUUAUCAUAUCCGGGCUAAGAGAAAUAUUUCUAGCAGUGGUUAAGAUAUUGCAAUUGUCAAACAGUGUCCAGAAUCCAUAGCAAUGAGUAGCCAGUGCAAAUGAUAAAUGAAAUUUUUAUCCAAGCUGUGUGAUUCACAACUCUCAAUAGUCAGCAAAGCUGGAGUUCCCUCAUGUUGUAUCUCAGAGCUGUAAAACAUGGUCUUGUCUGACUGUUGUGCCAAUUCUGAUACAUAUAUUUAUCUAGCACUACUUGCUUCUUGUCUUCAUCACCAUUGUCCCUCUGACUAUGUGAAUUUUCAGCCCACUGAGCUUGACUGAGCUGCAUUUUUGGAGUGAGUUUCUUCUAAGAUACCUGCAACUUGCUCCUCUUGCUUGAGCAUCCUAGAAAUGUUGGGGACUUCUUGACUUUAGGAGGUAUGAAAUCUACUGCAUUCUGGUAAGCUGCACUUUUAAAGGUGUUUUUGGGGAUGCUUCAGUUGACUUAGCUGUGAUUCUGUGUUGCUGUUGUUUUAUUUCACUAUUUCUAAAUGCCCUAUUAUGGAUCAGCUCCUACAGACUAUUUAGAGGCAUAGUCUGAACUAGAGCUUUAUUCAGACUUUAUUCAGACCUAAGAAUAGUUUUCAUGGGUUUCACUGGUCAUCAAAUCAUUGCUUGUUGUGAGUCUAAGUCACGGAGACACUAAACGAUGCGGAGAACCUAGCUAAGCCACAAAAGCCAAGGGUGUCCAAUUGUUGCAGUCUGCCCCAUAACUGUCCUGAGAAGCUGAAUAUGACAGAGUUGGGAAUCACCGUGUCUGAGUUCCACUCCAAAGACACUGGAUUUUGAACCAUCAGAGAUAUUUGUUUUUCCCCAAACACAAGCACCCUUCUGACCUCACUAAUUUUCUGAUAGAAACUAAAAAUCUUUUUGUUAUAAUCAGAGUCAAGUAUCAGUUCCAGAAAGCCAUUACUAUGCAUUAUAGGCACUUAGGCACAUUAGAAAACAAAACAAAACAAGCAAUCUACCACUUUCCAGGAUUAAUGCUAUGAAACAUUUUAUGGGUGGUCCUUAAGAGGACAGAAUGCUGCACUAAUGUGUGACUGCAUGGCAAUUAAGCUUAAUUAGGGGAGGUUUUGAAAAAUGGGAAUGAAAGCAACUGUGCUUUUGGGGACCACGCUCUGUUACAUUAGUUCAGUGAAGCAUUGCUAAUAUUGUCCCCCGUCUAUCACACUUUGACACACAUCCAGAAGUUUGUCAAAUCAAGCAUUUUUCUCGAGAAGCAUGAAUCUCUUAGGAGCACAUUCUUCACCUGAUCUCUGCUGAACCCACGGGUUUCUUCAGGAGACAGCAGCGCUUCCAUAGUAAGAGGAAUAGCUGACCCUUAAUGUGACCAUCCGGUUUAGUUUAGCUUUGCCUCUUUUCUACAUGGAGUAACAGAAAUAAUGAUGUAUGUGGAUUUUGAUUUUCUUAUGUGCGCUGGAAGAAAUUUUUCAUUAUUUCCUAUUUUUAAUGCUUCCUUAGAUUUACAACUGAGCACUCAGAGCAUCUGAUUCUGAUUUUCCCCACUGACGAGACCCCCGAUACUGAACUUAUUCUUGUGCAAAAGGUGCAAUAAGGACACCUUUCUUCGCUGAAGGAAGCUGAAGUGAGUGUUGAUGGAAAUACUGCUGAUAAAAAUGUGUAUUGAAAAUAGACAAGCGGAUGUUAAGUACAAAAAAGAAGAUACUUGGAUUUGAUGGCUGAGCAUGAAUGGCUGCAUACAGAUACAAAAGACAAGACAGAUAAGAGAAAACAAGAAGAAAAAACACUGUGAAAAAAUAACAACUUACAGUACACAAAGCAUCCUCUGCUUUCUUGAAGACAAUGUACCAUAUCAUGGUGGGGAUGAAAAAAAAAAAAAAAGCAGAUUUCUUUGGACAGCAAUCAUCCAUCAGCUUCUGAGAAAGAACGGUCCAACUAGACAAGAGAACAAAGAAAAGUGGUCCCUGGGAUAAGUGCUUUUGCGACGUGAGACCUAGAUGUAUGCCUGAUGCUGAAACUGCCAGUCAGCAGCCUUGUGCAUUUCAGAAGAAGGUUGAGUGCACAUCCGUGAAAUAAUCAAUAAAUUCUGCACUUUGCUGCAUGAUAUCAGUCAUGGGUUACAGAUGUAUAUUGAUUAUGUAUAUACAACUCCAUUACAUACAUGUGUCUAGAUGUUCUAAAAGCAUGCAGCUGUUGGGCUGUUACAAAGCACAUACUUUGUAACAUUUUGUUGUGGCACUGAAAAUAAUUUGAUAUCCUGAAAGUCCCAAACGUUGCCAAAACACUGAUAUAUUAUCAAUUCUCUUUUCUUUCUUUCCCCAAGGAAAUAUGCUAUCCUACUCUCACUACUGUAAGGGAAACUUAAUAGGAGGGGAGAAAUGAAAAGCUUUUCAGGCACACAAUACACUUAAAAGUUCCUAUUCAAAAUGCAUGUAGAGCACAGUGCUUUUUCCCUGAAGUCUACCUUCUCAUUCAUGAGGAAGUUUUACUUCUCUCCUGGCUCCACAACUCUGGCAAGUCUCGCUGUUCAGCCUUUACUAUUACCCUUUUGCAAUGUCUACCAACCAAGUUUGAGGAAGGAUUUUUUCCUGAGGGUUCAGAGGUUUAAAGCAGGUUUGUUUCAGUCUCACAUCAAACCCAUUCAGGAGACAUUCAGAAGCACAGGGAGCAAAGUCAGUAACUGAAGACUUUUCUUUUUGACUGAUGUUUUAAAGUAAGAGAACGUUUACCUUACGUUUUGAGUGAAACUGAUGUUAAUCAUAACAGGUCUGUUCGUGUAGUGUACAGUGAUGUUCCUAGAUUAGAAGCAAAAUUUCUUUGUGAGGGGGCUAACAAUACUGCAGGGGGCCAUCUUGCUUCACUGAACUGGAACAUCCAGUCUUUUAAGAGCACACAUACAUUAGGUUGUAAGAUUACUCUCACUAUAGCAACCUUCUCCAAUACAAUCGUUUCUUUUUCUCUGUUUUUUUCCCCUUCUUUUAAAAGAAGCAGCUUUAUAACUUAGCUUUCCACUAACCAUUAUCUUCCCUGGCAUUUUCUAACCUUUCUCUUCCUAACCUCUUCGUCCACUGUCCCAGACAGUUUCCAUUCAGUUUUACACAGUGUUAAAAUUCUGCACUUCAAAUUGUUCAUUAAGGUUUGUUUUGUUUUGUUUUCUCCAGAACUGAGCAAGAACAAGAAACUAGAGCUCUCCUACAGUAUAAGUAAAAUCCUAAAUCAGAAAAUUUGUGGCUUCUCUUUAUCACUCUGAUCCAAUUCCUCUAAAAACUGGGCUUUAUAUUUGUAAUCCUCUCGUGAAGCAGUGGGACUGUUCUGAAUGAAAAGUACAUGUUCUAUGAAAUGUUUUCAAUCUCAUAUGCUUGGUGAAACUUCUGUGCUAAAAAAAAGGCAGCUAGCUGGCAAAUAAAACCCUGUUCAAGAAAGAAUGUCAAAAGAACAGGCUAGACAUGUUGAGAGCAGUGUUUGUUUAAACUGACAUAUAUGCUGCGUGCCUAACUGAAGAACUGAAAGCAAAAAUCUAGCUUACGAGACACACUUAAGAAGAGGGUUUCAUUGUAGAAAUGGAGAGCCAUUAUCUUAGUGAUGAAGUCUACUUUUGUCCCUGGAGAAAUAGAAACACAAAUUAGCCAAUAUCAUAUGGGCUUGGGUUGCCGACCCUUGAGCGGGUGUUGACAGCAACUAGGAAAAGUAGUAGGAGGAGGCUUUCUUGGUUUUAAUAUUAUGUUCUGCCAAAGCCGUUUUGAAACUAAGUUGGAAAUUUCCUUGCAACACCAUAUGUGAUAACAAAAGUGACCUUAUGGACAAAAUAUUUCACAUGCUGCUUCAGGAACACAAAAUGCUGUUAGUAUAGCUCAGCAUAAAACACAACAGAAAGAAGAUUGUAUAUCACACUCUGCUAAGCUGCAUAAGAACAUGAAAACUCAAAGACAGUCAUCCAUUACCAGCAUACAGUACCACAGGCACCUUGGAUACAAUUCCUAAUGCUAUUCCUUACUUCAUUCUUAUUCAAUUUUAUAUGAUCUUCCAGAAAAGUAAAAAGGCAACAGAAUUGGCUCUUUUAGCAAGUGGCUAAUGUGUGGGCAAUACUAUUAACUAGAAAGCAUCCAGCAAUAUUUUUAGGAAGUUAUUCUAUGUGUGCAAGGGGCAUCUUCUUCGCUACAGCUUUAUUGAGUGACCACUGCUUGUUUUCUCCAGGAACAGUGUACUGAAGUUUGUUGUCUGGGACAGCUGGAUCAGUUUCCCUCAGCUAGCAUAUUCUCCAAGCCCUUCACAAGCCUUGCAAAUAGCAGCUACACAGCACAGAGUGAUACCUAACUGGGCAGUUGAAGGGCAGAGUCUGGGAUGUUUGUGACUGUACCAAAUGAUUUAUCUAUUAACCCUUCCUUCACAGUGGAUGACACUACACAGCAUUGGAAAAGCAGCAUGAGAAAGCCUGUUGCUCUGCACCAGGGCCUGUUUGGUACUGGUUCCGUGACUGAACAGAAGUACCAGUGUCAGUGUUACAUCCAGAGGGGGAAAAAAAAAUAAAAUUUGAGUUAAUAAAGGCCACUGAUGUCAGAUUCAGCUAACUUUGGUCAAGCAAUAAACUUGGAAGUCUUUUCCCCCAAGGGCUUCCUUUUUUGUCUCUAAAACAAAGGAAAGUGAAAUGAAAACAAGAACUCCAG